rnacentral:sRNA from 1 species
AACUUAUAAAAUGGCGGCGUCCACAUGUAUACGUCCUUCCCGGGAUUAGCCAGGCAGCUAGAGGAUGACUUAAUAAGGAGAGUGGAGAAACUGGCCAAUUAAUGAACAUGCCCUGUUCAAGAUGUUCAACUUGGCUGCUCCAGCUACCAUGCCUGCUGCCUGCCACCUCCACUCUGUCAUGGAACUGUAAGCCCAAAUAAACUCUUUUUUUAUCUAA